rnacentral:lncRNA from 1 species
GAGGGGCAAGAAAACUUAUAAAGGAUUUUUAUUUUAUGAAGUGUUUUAUAUGUUUUAAAGUCACAAGAUAGUAGGACAAUUAAUAGCAGUUAGAAGCUCCAUAUUUUUUUCAAGACAAAUCAUUCUCUAUAAUAACAAGCUAUUAAAUUAUUAAAAAUUAUGCAUUAUGAUAUUUAUGGAUUAAUAAGGAUGCCAUUAAUUAGAAGAAUAAGAUACUAUAUUAUAUUUAUUAUUUAUUUUUUUAAAAAGAUAUGAAUUUACAUCUUUAAAGCUAAAAAUGAGGAUUUUUUUAAGUUUUAAAGAAUUCAAAGUACUUAUAAAGAAGCAACGUGAGUAUAAGGUCUAAGUAUUGCAUGCAAACAA